rnacentral:rRNA from 1 species
CCUACGGGAGACAGCAGUGAGGAAUAUUGGUCAAUGGACGCAAGUCUGAACCAGCCAUGCCGCGUGCAGGAAGACGGCUCUAUGAGUUGUAAACUGCGUUUGUACGAGGGUAAACGCAGAUACGCGUAUCUGUCUGAAAGUAUCGUACGAAUAAGGAUCGGCUAACUCCGUGCCAGCAGCCGCGGUAAUACGGAGGGUUCAAGCGUUAUCCGGAUUUAUUGGGUUUAAAGGGUGCGUAGGCGGUCGGAUAAGUUAGAGGUGAAAUCCCGAGGCUCAACUUCGGAAUUGCCUGUGAUACUGUGCGGCUAGAGAGUAGUUGCGGUAGGCGGAAUGUAUGGUGUAGCGGUGAAAUGCUUAGAGAUCAUACAGAACACCGAUUGCGAAGGCAGCUUACCAAGCUACUUCUGACGUUGAGGCACGAAAGCGUGGGGAGCAAACAGGAUUAGAUACCCGAGUAGUC